rnacentral:rRNA from 1 species
GCAAGUCGAGCGAACCACUUCGGUGGGAAGCGGCGAACGGGUGAGUAACACGUAGGUGAUCUGCCCAUCAGACGGGGACAACGAUUGGAAACGAUCGCUAAUACCGGAUAGGACGCAGUUUAAAGAUGCUUCUGGCAUCACUGAUGGAUGAGCCUGCGGCGCAUUAGCUAGUUGGUGGGGUAAAGGCCUACCAAGGCGACGAUGCGUAGGCGACCUGAGAGGGUGGAC